rnacentral:rRNA from 1 species
AGCAGCCGCGGUAAUUCCAGCUCCAAUAGCGUAUAUUAAAGUUGUUGCAGUUAAAAAGCUCGUAGUUGAAUUUCAGGCCUGGCUGGGCGGUCCGCCCUUCGGGUGAGUACUGCCUGUGGUCGGGUCCUACCUUCUGGCGAAGCGUCAUGGCCUUAACCGGCCGUGGCGGGGGAACCAGGACUUUUACUGUGAAAAAUUAGAGUGUUCAAAGCAGGCAAUCGCUUGGAUACAUUAGCAUGGAAUAAUGGAAUAGGACAAUGGUUCUAUUUUGUUGGUUUCUAGGACCGUUGUAAUGAUUAAUAGGGAUAGUUGGGGGGCAUUAGUAUUCAAUUGUCAGAGGUGAAAAUUCUUGGAUUUAUUGAAGACUAACUACUGCGAAAAGCAUUUGCCAAGGAUGUUUUCAUUAAUCAAGAACGAAAUGUUAGGGGAUCGAAGACGAUCAGAUACCGUCGUAGUCUUAACCAUAAACUAUGCCGACUAGGAAUCGGGCGAUGUUGACAAAAUGACGCGCUCGGCACCU